CCUACGGGUGGCUGCAGUGAGGAAUAUUGGUCAAUGGUCGCAAGCCUGAACCAGCCAAGUCGCGUGAAGGAUGACGGUGCUAUGGAUUGUAAACCUCUUUUGUCGGGGAGCAAGGCCCGCCCCGUGUGGCGGAAAGAGGCGUACCCGAAGAAAAAGCAUCGGCUAAAUCCGUGCCAUCAGCGGGGGUAAUACGGAGGUGGCGAUCGUUAUCCGAUUUUAUUGGGGUUAAGGGGUGCGUAGGCGGCAGGUUAAGUCAGUGGUCAAAUGUCGGUGCUCAACACCGGCCUGCCGUUGAAACUGGUCUUCUUGAGUGAGCGAGAAGUAUGCGGAAUGCGGGGUGUAGCGGUGAAAUGCAUAGAUAUCACGCAGAACUCCGAUUGCGAAGGCAGCAUACCGGCGCUCAACUGACGCUGAGGCACGAAAGCGUGGGGAUCGAACAGGAUUAGAUACCCGAGUAGUC
rnacentral:rRNA from 1 species